rnacentral:rRNA from 1 species
UACGAAGGGGACUAGCGUUGUUCGGAAUUACUGGGCGUAAAGCGCGCGUAGGCGGAUCGCUAAGUCAGGGGUGAAAUCCCAGGGCUCAACCCUGGAACUGCCUUUGAUACUGACGAUCUGGAGAUCGGGAGAGGUGAGUGGAAUUCCGAGUGUAGAGGUGAAAUUCGUAGAUAUUCGGAGGAACACCAGAAGCGAAGGCGGCUCACUGGCCCGAUAAUGACGCUGAGGCGCGAAAGCGUGGGGAGCAAACAGG